AUUGAACGCUGGCGGCAGGCCUAACACAUGCAAGUCGAACGAGUGGCGGACGGGUGAGUAAUGUCUGGGAAACUGCCUGAUGGAGGGGGAUAACUACUGGAAACGGUAGCUAAUACCGCAUACCAUCAGAUGUGCCCAGAUGGGAUUAGCUAGUGGGUGGGGUAACGGCUCACCAAGGCGACGAUCCCUAGCUGGUCUGAGAGGAGGACCAGCAACACUGGAUGUGAGACACGGUCCAGAGUCCUACGGGAGGAAGCAGUGGGGAUUAUUGCACAAUGGGCGCAAGCCUGAUGCAGCAAUGCGGCGUGUAUGAAGAAGGCCUUCGGGUUGUAAAGUAGUUUCAGCGGGGAGGAGUUACCCGCAGAAGAAGCACCGGCGAACUCCGUGCCAGCAGCCGCGGUAAUAC
rnacentral:rRNA from 1 species